AUACAGAGGUUGCAAGCGUUAAUCGGAUUUACUGGGCGUAAAGCGCGCGUAGGUGGCUAAUUAAGUCAAAUGUGAAAUCCCCGAGCUUAACUUGGGAAUUGCAUUCGAUACUGGUUAGCUAGAGUAUGGGAGAGGAUGGUAGAAUUCCAGGUGUAGCGGUGAAAUGCGUAGAGAUCUGGAGGAAUACCGAUGGCGAAGGCAGCCAGCUGGCCUAAUACUGACACUGAGGUGCGAAAGCAUGGGGAGCAAACAGGAUUAGAUACCCUGGUAGUCCAUGCCGUAAACGAUGUCUACUAGCCGUUGGGGCCCUUGAGGCUUUAGUGGCGCAGCUAACGCGAUAAGUAGACCGCCUGGGGAGUACGGUCGCAAGACUAAAACUCAAAUGAAUUGACGGGG
rnacentral:rRNA from 1 species